GUUUGCCAUGAACUCACUUUCUAUUGUCUGAAGUCAUGGGGGGCCUGUGGCGAGGCGGAGGGGGGAGUGUGCAUUCUGUUUUCAUGGUAGUGGUCGUGGGGGUGGGGCACUCUUGGCCAUCCUGGGAUCCUCCUCUCAAUUUCCCCUUGCGAGUCCCCUUCUGCAUCCCACCGUGGGGACAGACUGGUGCGCUGUCUUCCCCGCAGCCCCUCUGCCUGGCGAAAACGCGGGAGCUGCUUGCUUGCUUGUGGCUCGGUGACUAGGAAGAGUGGCUGAAAGGCCCCACCUCUGACUCCUCCCUGCUUCUGAUAGCCUGAGUCCUGGGGGACAGAGGGAAGCGCCUCUGGGUUCCCCUCUCCGUGUGAGGCAGACAGCCUCCGCCCAGGCUCUGAGGGGCCCUAAUUCUUCCUAACAGACAGCAGUUUGGAGCUUCUCCCAGAGUGACCCAGGAGCCAGCCCAGGAGUGGUCUAGAAUAGACAAAGGACCGUUAGUAUCCCGAUGUGAAUUUUAGAAUGUGUAUAUUUCAUACAUAAAAAUAGAAAUGUAUAUGAAUGUAAUAUAGAUUAUAUAUUUAUUAUGUAUGUAAAAACAGUAUGUGCACAUGAUAAAUGAGCAUAUCUACGUCUCU
rnacentral:lncRNA from 10 species